rnacentral:miRNA from 1 species
AGGACUGAUCCUCUCGGGCAGG